ACGAGGGGGGCAAGCGUUGUUCGGAAUUAUUGGGCGUAAAGGGCGCGUAGGCGGUGCGGUAAGUCACCUGUGAAAUCUCCGGGCUUAACUCGGAGCCUGCAGGCGAAACUGCCGUGCUUGAGUGUGGGAGAGGUGCGUGGAAUUCCCGGUGUAGCGGUGAAAUGCGUAGAUAUCAGGAGGAACACCGAUGGCGAAGGCAGGUCUCUGGGCAUUAACUGACGCUGAGGAGCGAAAGCAUGGGGAGCGAACAGGA
rnacentral:rRNA from 1 species